CAUAAGACUAUAUUCAUUUCUCAUCACCAACAUCACCCACAAUCUUCUCCUCCCCUCCUUCGUACUUAUGGCCAAGAACCACCACACACAACCACCCAUUUUCACUUCAACCUCUUCCAUUCUAAGGUGUUCACAAGGUGUCUCUAGCAUGAUUAGGAAGCUUCGUGCCAUUGGAAGUUGAAGGACCUUUCCCGUUUGCUUUUAUCCAUUUCAUUUCUUCUCUUGAUCAUCCCUAGCCUUGAGCUAGUAGUAGUCGUGCAUUCUAGAGGAAGCUUUGGGUUACAUUGGAUACAAGGAACGCAAAACUGAAACUAAGUAUGGAUCUGGCGGGCGAUAAAGUUUCAAGUGUUGUCUGGAAUAAAAGAUGUCAUCCGGUGUCAAAUGGUUUAGAGUGUGUAUCCUGUCCUGGAUAGGAUACGUGUUUCAAAGCUUGGUUAUCUUCAGUUUCUUUUGAAAAGUCCUCAUGGAAUUUAAAACCUGUUGGUGUUGUAUUCUGAAUAUGAAGUCCGUUUUUUUUUUU